rnacentral:rRNA from 1 species
UACGUAGGGUGCGAGCGUUAAUCGGAAUUACUGGGCGUAAAGCGUGCGCAGGCGGUGGCUCAAGCCAGGCGUGAAAUCCCCGGGCUUAACCUGGGAACGGCCGUUGAAACUGGCGAACUGGAGUGUGGCAGAGGGGGGUGGAAUUCCGCGUGUAGCAGUGAAAUGCGUAGAGAUGCGGAGGAACACCGAUGGCGAAGGCAGCCCCCUGGGCUAACACUGACGCUCAGGCACGAAAGCGUGGGGAGCAAACAGG